rnacentral:rRNA from 1 species
AGUGAACGCUGGCGGUAGGCCUAACACAUGCAAGUCGAACGGCAGCACAGUAAGAGCUUGCUCUUACGGGUGGCGAGUGGCGGACGGGUGAGGAAUACAUCGGAAUCUACUUUUUCGUGGGGGAUAACGUGGGGAAACUUACGCUAAUACCGCAUACGACCUACGGGUGAAGGCAGGGGAUCUUCGGACCUUGCGCGAUUGAAUGAGCCGAUGUCGGAUUAGCUAGUUGGCGGGGUAAAGGCCCACCAAGGCGACGAUCCGUAGCUGGUCUGAGAGGAUGAUCAGCCACACUGGAACUGAGACACGGUCCAGACUCCUACGGGAGGCAGCAGUGGGGAAUAUUGGACAAAGGGCGCAAGCCUGAUCCAGCCAUACCGCGUGGGUGAAGAAGGCCUUCGGGUUGUAAAGCCCUUUUGUUGGGAAAGAAAAGCAGCAGGUUAAUACCCCGCUGUUCUGACGGUACCCAAAGAAUAAGCACCGGCUAACUUCGUG